GACGAACGCUGGCGGCGUGCUUAACACAUGCAAGUCAUGGGGACCCGCAAGGGUAACCGGCGAACGGGUGCGUAACACGUGAGCAAUCUGCCUAAGAUGUGGGGGAUAGCCGGCCCAACGGCCGGGUAAUACCGCAUACGCUCUCCUGGUGGCAUCACCGGGUGAGGAAACCCUUCGGGGGCAUCUAGAGGAGCUCGCGGCCUAUCAGCUAGUUGGUGAGGUAAUGGCUCACCAAGGCUUUGACGGGUAGCUGGUCUGAGAGGAUGGCCAGCCACAUUGGGACUGAGAUACGGCCCAGACUCCUACGGGAGGCAGCAGUGGGGAAUAUUGCGCAAUGGCCGAAAGGCUGACGCAGCGACGCCGCGUGGGGAUGAAGC
rnacentral:rRNA from 1 species